rnacentral:rRNA from 1 species
UAGCAUAUCAAUAAGCGGAGGAAAAGAAACUAACAAGGAUUCCCCUAGUAACUGCGAGUGAAGCGGGAAGAGCUCAAAUUUGAAAUCUGGCGGUUCUUGAACUGUCCGAGUUGUAAUCUAGAGAAGUGUUACCUGUGCUGGACCGUGUACAAGUCUCCUGGAAUGGAGCAUCACAGAGGGUGAGAAUCCCGUCUUUGACACGGACUACCUGUGCGAUAUGGUGCGCUCUCGAAGAGUCGAGUUGUUUGGGAAUGCAGCUCAAAAUGGGUGGUAAAUGCCAUCUAAAGCUAAAUAUUGGCGAGAGACCGAUAGCGAACAAGUACCGUGAGGGAAAGAUGAAAAGAACUUUGGAAAGAGAGUUAAACAGUACGUGAAAUUGCUGAAAGGGAAACGCUUGAAGUCAGUCACGUCGGCUAGAAAUCAACCUGCUUUUGCUUGGUGUACUUUCUGGUUGAUGGGUCAGCAUCAAUUUUGACCAUCGGAUAAAGUCAUUGGGAAUGUGGCAUCUUCGGAUGUGUUAUAGCCCGUUGUCGCAUACGUUGGUUGGGAUUGAGGAACUCAGCACGCCGCAAGGCCGGGGGUCUUUCCCUACGUUCGUGCUUAGGAUGCUGGCAUAAUGGCUUUAAUCGACCCGUCUUGAAACACGGACCAAGGAGUCUAACAUGCCUGCGAGUGUUUGGGUGGAAAACCCAUGCGCGCAAUGAAAGUGAAAGUUGAGAUCCCUUUCUGGGGAGCAUUGACGCCCGGACCAGAGCUUUUGUGACGGAUCCGCGGUAGAGCAUGUAUGUUGGGACCCGAAAGAUGGUGAACUAUGCCUGAAUAGGGUGAAGCCAGAGGAAACUCUGGUGGAGGCUCGUAGCGAUUCUGACGUGCAAAUCGAUCGUCAAAUUUGGGUAU